GACGAACCGUGCGAACGUUAUUCGGAAUCACUGGGCUUAAAGCGCGUGUAGGCGGAUGAGCACGUCUGUCGCUGAAAUCCCCCGGCUCAACCGGGGAACGGGCGCGGAUACGGCUCGUCUCGAGGGGCGUAGGGGGACCUGGAACUUCCGGUGGAGCGGUGAAAUGCGUUGAGAUCGGAAGGAACGCCCGUGGCGAAAGCGAGGUCCUGGACGCCUACUGACGCUGAGACGCGAAAGCCAGGGGAGCGAACGGGG
rnacentral:rRNA from 1 species